GGUCCUCAGCUAGUGCUCUUGAACUAGAGCAUGGCAUUAACAUUGCCAGGAUUAGGGGGUUCAAUUCCCACUGGGACCA